UGGGGAAUAUUGGACAAUGGGGGGAACCCUGAUCCAGCCAUGCCGCGUGUGUGAAGAAGGCCUUAUGGUUGUAAAGCACUUUAAGCGAGGCGGAGGGUACUGGUAUUAAUACUACCAGGUACUGGACGUUACUCGCAGAAUAAGCACCGGCUAACUCUGUGCCAGCAGCCGCGGUAAUACAGAGGGUGCGAGCGUUAAUCGGAUUUACUGGGCGUAAAGCGUGCGUAGGCGGCUAAUUGAGUCGGAUGUGAAAUCCCCGAGCUUAACGUGGGAAUUGCAUUCGAUACUGGUUAGCUAGAGUGUGGGAGAUGAUGGUAGAAUUCCAAGUGUAGCGGAGAAAUGCGUAGAGAUCUGGAGGAAUACCGAUGGCGAAGGCAGCCAUCUGGCCUAACACUGACGCUGAGGUACGAAAGCAUGGGGAGCAAACAGG
rnacentral:rRNA from 1 species